rnacentral:misc_RNA from 1 species
AAAAGGUUGCAAAAUUUGAAGGAUCUAGCUAUUAAAUUGAAUGUGGAUGAUCAUGUUGAGUUCCACAAGAAUGUAUUGUACAGUGAUUUGGUCAGGCUUCUGGGUGGUGCUGUAGCCGGAAUCCAUUCCAUGACAGAUGAGCACUUCGGCAUAAGUGUAGUGGAAUACAUGGCUGCUGGUGCUAUACCAAUUGCGCAUAAUUCAGCUGGUCCAAGGAUGGAUAUUGUGUUACCAGAAGAUGGAAAGCAGACUGGAUUUCUUGCCGAGAGUGUAGAGGAAUUUGCUGAAGCUAUCAUUGAAGUCAUUAAGAUGCCAGAGAAUGAGAGGUUGGAGAUGGCUGCUGCAGCAAGGAAACGAGCCUCCAUGUUCUCAGAGCAAAGGUUUUAUGAAGAUUUUAAGGCUGCUGUACGACCAAUCUUUUACAAUGAUAGUAAAUGAUUACAAAAAUCUUUUAUUUUCAUAAAUUCAAGAGAUCAAU